GGGUAGAGUGUUGACUAGGUUUAGACACAGGUAGUCCAGCCAACCAACUGUGUCUAGGGUAGAGUGUUGACUAGGUUUAGACACAGGUAGUCCAGCCAACCAACUGUGUCUAGGGUAGAGUGUUGACUAGGUUUAGACACAGGUAGUCCAGCCAACCAACUGUGUCUUGGGUAGAGUGUUGACUAGGUAUAGACACAGGUAGUCCAGCCAACCAACUGUGUCUUGGGUAGAGUGUUGACUAGGUUUAGACACAGGUAGUCCAGCCAACCAACUGAACACAAAGGCCAACAAUGAAAUGAGACAAGGGAGUGGUGACGAGUCAAACAUUUCAUCUGGUUAUGUUCGGACUCCGUCUAUGUCGUGGCUGUCGCUAACCAAAUAAGUCCAAAAACGUCUCGAUUAACCAAAAACUUGACUGUCUCCAAAGACUCAAAUAUAGGAACUGUUUCUUAUCUAACUCUAGGUUUUAUUAUGACGUUAUUGUCGCUACUCUUUAAAACCCAAAAUAAACAACCAACCAAAUUCUAACUUUUAGGCGCCAACGUUCAUUUCUUAUUUUAGACAAGCAUAGCCUGGAAACACACACAUACACACGUGACUUAAGUUGACAUGAAAAGAAGCAAGUAUGUGCCCUCGGCCUAAAUGUUUGGGAACCAUUAGCUGUGAACUCAACUCCUUCCACAGAAAGGUUUUUCAAGUAAAUAGUGCACGAAUAUUUUGUUCCAACAAUGCAUGGCUUUUGGUUCAACUCAACUAUUUAAGCUUCAAUAGAAAACAAAAACUGAACCAAACCCUUUCUCUUGAUGACCUGAUCAUCAUGCAGAGUUCCAUCAUUUCCCAAGCAGAGGACUAGCAACCACUGAGUAGAUCAGCCGAAUAGAUUGGUGGCACACCUGCACGUGCUGUGGCUACAGAAAGGUGUCACGACACCACAAGUUGACCUACACCUUGCCAGCCCUAUCACACACACAAACCUUGGCCUAACAAAGCAAACACAAGUUUUCUAAAGUGUAUUGAG
rnacentral:sRNA from 1 species